rnacentral:lncRNA from 1 species
GCACAAGUCCAUGUGCUGAACCUCAGGGUUACAUCUUCAACAGUGCCUGGCUCUAAACAGAUUUACACAAUGAAAAUUAAAUGCCUCUAAAGGGUAUUCCAUAUGGUACUCUCCCCUGGAGUAAAUGCUGUGGACUGGCUCAUGUUUCUCCACUUCCAAUCUGUACUCUCUUUUGAAGAGUGACUAUACAUGGAUAACCAGUGAUUCUGACCGACGGAGUUCAUCAAGGCUUUACGCUCAAAAUCUUACUGUUUCACUGGUCUGAUUCACUCCCAUACACCGAAAAGCUCUCUUCAACUUGGAAUUCAGGCUUGGGUACUCGAAGAGCCUGUAUCAGCCAAAUUGUAAAGACAACAGGAGAUCUCAACCAAAAGAGAGAAGUUCAAAGGAUUUCUGAUGUUUCCUAUGCAAAGGAAAACGUUUCCUAUGCAAAGACUAUCAUUCAGUUAUUCUUCACUCAUAAACCAUUACAGGUGAACUACGGAUGCCAGCAAGAACAUGAUGCCUGGAUUCAAAUAUUUUAUAGCUUUUAA